CCUCUGUUGAUUACGUAACUCAAUGACAGUGCUCUGCCUCGGCGCUGCCACAGAUUCUCUGCUAACUAGAAGCUGAGGGAAUACAUGGUGUGCAUGCAGUCUGCUGCACUGUAUCAAACUGAGUGACGAGAGAGGGAGAAGCAGUAGGACGGUAAGCGAGAGGAAGGCUCUGCUCUUGUCUGGUGCACAGCCAGUGAUAAACACAAAGUGACAGGCGUGGCAAAGAUGGGUCUUCUGCUCAUGCAAUGCAUUCUGGGCUUUCAGGGCGGACUCCCUGGCACAGUAGGUGAGGAAGGCACAGCCUGAAACACAGCAAAAGGAAGACAUAAUUAGAGCUGGC